UACAAAAUGCUUAAGGAUUAGAAUGUGAGU
rnacentral:piRNA from 1 species